CCCUUAGAUGUUCUGGGCAGCACGCGCGCUACAAUGGUCUUCGCAAACGGAUGCAUUCUCGAAGGAGAAUGCCAAUCUUGGAAUCUAUGCCUUGGUCGGGACAGUUGCUUGCAAUUUUUCGACUCGAACCAGGAAUUCCUUGUAAUCGUGAUUCAUCACAUCACGAUGAAUACGUCCCUGCCCUUUGUACACACCGCCCGUCGCUCCUACCGAUUGAAUGAUCCGAUGAAUAUCAUGGACUGAGAGUGUUAGAGUUUUCGGACUUCUACACUUCUCGGGAAGUGAAGUGAAUCUUAUCAUUUAGAGGAAGGAGAAGUCGUAACA
rnacentral:rRNA from 1 species